CUAAACUGACACUAACUAAAAAUAGAAAAAACAUAAACCGCCAUUUUGAAUACUGAAUUAUCCCAAUUUAUCCCCCAAUUGUCCCCAUUACCGGUUUAUCUCAAAUCCGGCCGGAAUUUUUGUCCAAAUCCGGUAAAUCCGGUUCCGGCCGGAUUUGAAAAUUCUAAAUCCGGUGCACCCCUAAUUCUAAAUAUACUGUGUUGACUCAUAAUAUAUUCUCUAUAUAUAUAUUGAUCCUUUAUACUAAAGUGAACUAUAAACAAUAUGUAACUACGAUAUUAACCUCAUCUAAUAUUAUGAUGCACCCAAAGCAAAGAACCGAGGUGAAGGAAAUAAGUUUUUGAAUUAUGUAUACAAGUUAUUUACUGAUCUAGAUUAGAACACAUGCACUGUCAGAUAUAGGCCGUAUAGCUAAGCAGAAAAACUGCCUGAGAUGAGUUGAAUGUAACCUGAAUAUCAGGCCUAUAUUUAUCCUUCCCGCGCCUUUCUUGUCCGAUUUUCCCUUUAAGCGUAAGGCGGGAUAUGUUCAAG